UCUUCAUUAGUAUAACGGUUAGUAUAACCGCUUCUCAGUUUACGAGCUUCGGCUUUCGACUAUACGCGGUAGACCAGGGUUCAACUCCCUGAUGGAGAA
rnacentral:tRNA from 1 species